ensembl:lncRNA
CUGUUUUUUAUUUAUUUAUUUAUUUUUUUAAAUUAUUUUUUAAUUUAAUAUGUCUCCUGGCUGUAUUUAAAUAUUUAACUGCAAUAGUGUGAUGAAUUUGAAGUCCCUUGUUUGCUGUGUGUAUUGUACAGCAGGUAGGCUGUAUGUUUGGGGAAACUGCAUGGUGACUGCUAUUGAAUUGAAACGACAACAAAAUUCAUGCCAUGUGCAUAAAUAUUUUAUUCAUAAAUAUGUAAAUCAGUUUACAAAUAAAUUACUAAAGUAUAAACACAUUCCCAUAAAUAAUGUAUUAGUAUAAAGAUAUAUAAAUACAUAUAAAUAUUACAAUACAUUUUUUUUUUUAAAAUAAUUUGCAAACUCCUUCUGGGCACAGCUGUGUAUUUUAUCCAAAAGCUCGUCAAGUGAAACCGUGCUUAGCUCCUCUGGGUAUGAGCAGUUCUGCUGGUGAAACAUACAGAGAUGUUAGAGUUGCUGUGCAUCUGUAGUCAUAUGCAUCACAUUUGCAAUACAAACAAGCAAAUCCAUUUAAAAUUAUAUUGCUAUAAUGGCACAUCCCAGAAUAAAAUGACUUAGUUAUUUAGACCCGUCGUACUUUUUUAUCCGUUUGUAGUUACAUUUAAUGUUGAGGAAUGUCAAAAUAGGUUCGCUCCUGUUAUCAUUUAGUGGCUAUAAACGGUCGUGCCCUUAAAUCUUCUUGAAGACGAAACCAAAUUGCAGCGUGUUAAUGAGAAAUCACGAAACACAAAGCCGUCUGUCCCAAAGAAUUGCUUAUGCAGGACAUCUUAACGUUUAAGCUCUGAUUAGUACCAAGUGCUGACACUGGAGACUCCUUCCAAAAAUGCUAAAUAAACGUCUUCAUACAGAAAACAUGAGCGUGUAUUGAAAAUGUGUUAGAAAGAGCGCGCUGUGAUUUAGCUUACAGACGGAUCAACCUGUCUAGGCUGGGUUGUUAGAGAAACUUCUGACCAAUCAGAAUUGAGGCGCUGUGGUAAAAGGGUGUUGCUUUCUCAAAAUCACAGUCACUUACUUCUGAGUAAGAUUGAAGCAUUCUGUGCAGCCUCCAGUCCCGCUGACUCUUCAGUCCGAGGUCCGAUGUGUUGUAUGCUGUGAGAACCUUCCCUGCUUUGCAGAGCGUCUCACACUAGAAUACACAUAUAAAAGGGCUCAUAUCUUCAGGUUUUCUCAUAUUAAUAUAUCAUUUGAAUGUUAUGUUAAUCAAUUGUAUGCUUGCAUGUUGGUGUUUUACUUACACUGCAUUCUUCAUUCAUAAAAACAUGUUGGACUUGUUUCUGAAGUGUCUGAUUAAAAAAAAAAAAAAAAAAAGGUUAUAUUGUUAGAUUGAGUUUUUAAUCACUGCUGGUCUACAAUUCUAUUAAUCAUACGGGUGAUGUGAAUCUUACCUUCGCUGUUAGGUUCAUUUUCAAGUUUUUCACAUGAUGCAUGAUAUCUUUUAAAAGAUGUUGGCCUUCUUUCUUGCCUUCUUGAGAUUUCCGGUGGCAUUCAUGGUUGGUGAAGUUGACCGCCUUUCCACUUUUCUGCUGAUGUUUGUCUGAUGUAGAUGCCGUAUGAGGUGCUGCAGUAACCACUGCGGUGCUCAGGAAGAAAAAUAUGAAGACGUUCAUGUCGUCGUGCGUGGUUCCAGUCUAUUUGCCUGGUUUUGAGUUUUCAAGUUCAGUUUACUCGGUGCUGUCACUGUCUUUUAUACCAUACCGCCUCUCUUCUCUUAUAGAGGUCAAGAUUUUGUGAAGUGGUAAGUUGGCUUUUUAUUUUUUAUUUUUUUUUUUUUAUUUAAAGUGAUGGUCUAAAAAGGAUUGUAGGGAAUGUUCAGAGUCUUAUUAAUAAGUCAUUAGUCAUUCGUUGAGUGAGAAUGCAUAUACAAUACAUCUAGUUUGUUGUCUAUUAUUAAAGCAUGGAGUGGUAAGAUUUCUACUCAUGUACAUUUGAGUAUAUUUGCUCACUUGUCAAAUGCUUUUAUCCAAAGUGUCUUAGUCAGGUAGAAUCCAAUCAAGCUUUUUAAGCAUGCCAUCAGUAAUACAAUUGACCAUAACACAACAGAAACAAGUACAUGGAAAUCAUUCAUUCAUUCAUUCAUUCUCUAUAAGUGCUUUAUCCUGGUCAGGUGCAGUGGAUCUGGAGCCUCUCCUAGGAACACUGGAGACGAGGUGGUAAUACACCCUGGAAGUGAUGCCACUCUGUCGUUCACUAGGUAUGUAAUCAAAUAUGAAUACGUACUCGGAAUGAACAGAUAAUAUGUUCUGUAUGGAUAAAAUACAGAUGCAAAAAUGAGGUGUUUUUUUUUUCCCCUUUGCGACUAGAUGUAUGCAUCGGGACUGGGAUCUCACAGGAUUCACCAGGAGGGAAACUUAAAUAUGUUAUGUAGCUUCUGAAGGGCGGUACUAAAUGAAAUAAAUUAAGAUCUUUAAACAAAAUAAUAAUAAUUCACACCAAUUAUCCUGUUCAAUUUUUUUUGUUGAGCUUUUGAACGUUUGCACCUUUUGUAACAGUUGUGUCCCUCAGUUGUCCUCAGUGUGAAAAGAUGGAUCUGAUCAUCAUAUAGUCGCUGUUGGAAAGUGUUCAGAUAUGUAGAAGAUGCUGGAAAAUGAAAGAAUGUGCAGGACCUGGAGGAUUUCUCUGAAGAACACUAUAAAGCACCUAUAAAGCACUAAAUGGUCUCGCGCCACAAUAUCUAAGCG